GACGAACGCUGGCGGCGUGCUUAACACAUGCAAGUCGAACGAUGAAGCUGGAGCUUGCUCCGGUGGAUUAGUGGCGAACGGGUGAGUAACACGUGAGCAAUCUGCCCUUGACUCUGGGAUAACUGCGGGAAACUGUAGCUAAUACCGGAUACGAGAUUUGGAGGCAUCUCCGGAUCUGGAAAGAAUUUCGGUCAAGGAUGAGCUCGCGGCCUAUCAGCUUGUUGGUGAGGGAAUGGCUCACCAAGGCGACGACGGGUAGCCGGCCUGAGAGGGGGACCGGCCACACUGGGACUGAGACACGGCCCGGACUCCUACGGGAGGCAGGAGUGGGGAAUAUUGCACAAUGGGCGAAAGCCUGAUGCAGCAACGCCGCGUGAGGGAUGAAGGCCUUCGGGUUGUAAACCUCUUUUAGUAGGGAAGAAGCGAAAGUGUCGGUACCUACAGAAAAAGCACCGGCUAACUACGUGCCAGCAGCCGCCGUAA
rnacentral:rRNA from 1 species